rnacentral:rRNA from 1 species
UACAGAGGGAGCGAGCGUUGUUCGGAAUUACUGGGCGUAAAGGGCGCGUAGGCGGUCCGAUAAGUCCCGUGUGAAAUCCCUCGGCUCAACUGAGGAAUGGCACGGGAAACUGACGGGCUUGAGUUCGGGAGAGGGAAGCGGAAUUCCGGGUGUAGCGGUGAAAUGCGCAGAUAUCAGGAGGAACACCGGUGGCGAAGGCGGGUCUCUGGGCCGAUACUGACGCUGAGGAGCGAAAGCGUGGGGAGCGAACAGG